rnacentral:rRNA from 1 species
GGCCUACACAUGCAAGCCGAGCGGUAUGGAUCUUUCGGGAUCCAGAGAGCGGCGUACGGGUGCGGAACACGUGUGCAACCUGCCUUUAUCAGGGGGAUAGCCUUUCGAAAGGAAGAUUAAUACCCCAUAAUAUUUAGAAUGGCAUCAUUUUAAAUUGAAAACUCCGGUGGAUAGAGAUGGGCACGCGCAAGAUUAGAUAGUUGGUGAGGUAACGGCUCACCAAGUCUGCGAUCUUUAGGGGGCCUGAGAGGGUGAUCCCCCACACUGGUACUGAGACACGGACCAGACUCCUACGGGAGGCAGCAGUGAGGAAUAUUGGACAAUGGGUGCGAGCCUGAUCCAGCCAUCCCGCGUGAAGGACGACGGCCCUAUGGGUUGUAAACUUCUUUUGUAUAGGGAUAAACCUACCCUCGUGAGGGUAGCUGAAGGUACUAUACGAAUAAGCACCGGCUAACUCCGUGCCAGCAGCCGCGGUAAUACGGAGGGUGCAAGCGUUAUCCGGAUUUAUUGGGUUUAAAGGGUCCGUAGGCUGAUGUGUAAGUCAGUGGUGAAAUCUCACAGCUUAACUGUGAAACUGCCAUUGAUACUGCAUGUCUUGAGUGUUGUUGAAGUAGCUGGAAUAAGUAGUGUAGCGGUGAAAUGCAUAGAUAUUACUUAGAACACCCAUUGCGAAGGC